AGUCAGCUCCCGGUGACGCUACCUCGAUGUUCACAGAGGGCUGGAGAUAGAAGGACACUCCUCCUCCUCCCAGCGCGGAGUAGACAGAGGAGAACAUCCCAACACUCACUUAUAGAGCUGCUCGCUCACGCGGAGGCGACGGCACGCGCUCGACCCCCGCGAGAGGUACAGGACGAAGGGAAGCCGAGAGGAGAGGCUGCCGGGGAGACACACUCUCGAGCGUGGUUUAUUUUAUAUUUUGGUUUUAAAAACUUUGCCGCUUUUGACAGCACUGACUGACUUUGCCGGUUGUGGACUUCCCUCGCCGUUCCCGGUUUUGGCAGUGGGAGCUUCAAACUCGGUUAACCUCCGAGCGAACUGGAAAACGGUUAAAGUGGUAGCAGCCUUCAGACUGGACACUUGCAGCCAGUGGGAUGUUAGCUCUGGCUCUGGGAGGAGGACUGCGUGAAGGAGCAUGGUGAAACACCAACCUCUCCAGGUCUACGAACGCCAGCUGUGUUUGUCAUGUAUCACCGGGCUCUACGGUUGCCGAUGGAAACGCUAUCAGCGUUCCCAUGAUGACACCACCAAGUGGGAGCUCCUGUGGUCUUUCAUCCUCCUCUUCACCUUCUGUCUGCUCCUGGUCUGGUUCUACUUUUGGUGGGAGGCACAUAAUGACUACAAUGAGUUUAACUGGCUUUUAUACAACCGCUCUGGGGAGUGGAGCGACGGCACUGUUCCCAUCCUGGCCACCACUGCUGCAGGCGUCAUCUAUGUUGCAUUUUUAAUGAUUUUAGCACUUUGCCACAUAGCACUUGGUCAGCAGCUGAAUUUGCACUGGCUCCACAAGAUAGGAGUGGUUGCUGCUCUGCUCACCACCGUUGUCGGGGUGAUUUCUGUCAACCAAACAUGGGAGCAAGAGUGGGAAAUUGUUCCCAUCUCCCUGCAGGCUACAGGUCCGUUUUUGCACAUAGGCGCUCUCGCUGCAGUCACUGCUCUCUCGUGGAUCGUGGCAGGACAAGUGGCUCGAGCCGAAAAACCAGUGUUCCAGGUGGUGGUCAUGCUGCUAUACCUCAGUGUGUUACUAGGACUCUAUGUGGUGCCUUUGUAUAUUACCUCCCCAUGUAUCAUGGACCCUAGUACCCUGAAGCCCCGCCCUGAGGUUAUCGGCCAGCGGGGAGCCCCCAUGAUUGCUCCAGAAAACACAAUCUGGUCUUUCCAGCGAUCUCUGCAGAUGAACGUCACAGGAUUGGAAACCAAUGUUAAAAUUAGCGCUGAUGGCGUGCCUUUCCUAAUGCACGAUUUUGACCUCCGGAGGACCACAGACGUGGAAAAGGUUUUUCCAGAGAGACGAACACUCAACGCAUCAUCUUUCAACUGGACCGAUCUCCAGCAGCUCAAUGCUGGGGAGUGGUUCCUCAAGGACGACCCCUUCUGGACGGUUCCCAGCCUGUCCCCGUCUGAGAGGAGGAGGAUCGCCAACCAGAGUGUUUGCAGCCUGGAGGAACUCCUAAAGCUGGCCUCCAUUACCAACAGCUCUGUGGUUUUCCGACUGCAGAGGCCUCCUCCGGAUCACCCCCAUCACCACAGCUGGAUCAAUGAUACACUGACAGUGGUGCAGCAGUCUGGGAUACCUCAACGCCUGGUGAUGUGGACUACUGAUGAGCAAAGGGCUGAAGUGAGGCGGCAAGCGCCCGGCCUGAUCCAGACAUCACUGGUGAAAUGCAGUCUUCAAAGUCUGCAGCAGUCUGACGUCAGCAGGAUGCUGCUGAGAUACAACCAAGUCAGCACAAAUGAAGUCAGGAACUUCUCCCAGUCUCACAUUGACCUCACCCUCUACACCGUCAAUGAUCCAUGGCUGUACUCGGUGCUCUGGUGCAGCGGAGUGUCCGCAGUCUCCUCUGAGGCCCCGCAGGUCCUCAAAAAGGUGCCUUACCCAAGCUGGCUCAUGAGACCAAAUGAAUACUGCCUGAUGUGGGUGUCUGCAGACCUCAUCUCCUUCGCCGUUAUUGUAGGAAUAUUUGUUCUCCAGAACUAUCACAUAAUCAGGUAUCGGAUGAGCGGCAUGCGCAGCUACAACCCCGAGCAGAUCAUGCUGAGCGCCUCAGUCAGGACGGCCAGCCGAGACGUCAACGUCAUGAAGGAGAAACUCAUCUUCUCUGAUCAACCCCAGUAACCUCCUCCCCGCCCCAUCAUUUGUGUGACGUGCUCCUCACCGCUCUACCAUCCUCCUCGCAAGCAGUGACUCCUUCUUUCCCUCCAUGCACCGAGCGCCUCCCUCAUUGCCUUCAACCCUUCUACCUCCCUCGCGUUUUCCUUUCCAUCCCAUCAUCCCCUCACCGUCCUGUCCUCCCACACAAUCCUCCCCCACGGAGACGAGUAGUUUGGGCGAACAUUUAAUCCCCCAGUCAGUGUUUAGACAGCCUGUUGUGUGGGAGAUGAAGAGGUGGGGAGCGAAAUGGGAGCUGAUGAGGAGCCGUACAUGGAUGGCUACAACUACUACUCCAACCAGAGCAUCCGUCAGUGAUUCAAGGGGAAGAGCAACUUCAUUCCUGCUUCAGUCUAAACUCCACCUGCUGUAUGGAACUGUAAAUAGUGUAAAUGUCUAUUUUCUUGUUUGACAUUUGUAAAUCACACAGGACUGCAAGCACUUGUUGAUGGAAUUAACUUGAUCUGUGAUUUCUUUCUUUUCCAUCUAAAAGUGAAAUUUCCUGCUUAUUUUAGAGUUUAAUACUUUCAGGUACAUUUUAAAGGCUGUUCCGCUCACAGAUGAGGAGACUGUAGCAUGAAGCCAGUCGCUUUUCACUUUGCUCCUGCCUGCUGGUCUCACUUUAGUUUGUCAUCAGUUCAACCACUCAAAACUAGAUUCAAGGAGGAAAACUCGUGUUUACAAAGUGUUCACAUGUAUGAUAUCUGAACUGCACUUGUGGUUUUAGCAUGCUGCUGUGUGAAACCAAAGCUGAUCAAAAUGUUUUUAAGAGUAAAGAUUUUUCUGUUUUGAUCAGCUGUUUUUAACUGUUUUUGUAAAGAUGUUUAAAUCACUUGUAUAUAUGUUUUUCUUUUUUGUAUAUUGCAUGCUGUGAUGUUUAUUGUGCCGUGUGUAUGUAUUAUAUUUGAGAAGCUCUAGCACGCCAAAUGAACAAUAUGGUCGUUGGAUACAAAUCAGACGCAGCAGUCAAUCUUUUCACAUCGCUUUUAUUUUGAUGUUAGGAAACGUGAGGAAUAAAUGUGCAAAAUAGAGCUUUAACAGAGGAAUGCUGUCGGGUUCACAGUGACACUGACUGCUGUUUGAUUUUUGAGUAUUACUGUGCCUCCAAAGUCAAUAUUAAACCUUAUGAUCUUUUAA